UACAGAGGUCUCAAGCGUUGUUCGGAUUCAUUGGGCGUAAAGGGUGCGUAGGUGGCACGCUAAGUCGGGUGUGAAAUCUCGGAGCUUAACUCCGAAAUUGCAUUCGAUACUGGCGUGCUUGAGGACUGGAGAGGAGACUGGAAUUCAUGGUGUAGCAGUGAAAUGCGUAGAGAUCAUGAGGAAGACCAGUGGCGAAGGCGGGUCUCUGGACAGUUCCUGACACUGAGGCACGAAGGCCAGGGGAGCAAACGGG
rnacentral:rRNA from 1 species